UCCUGCAGUCAACAAUCCUCUUAUACCACUUCUGUCACACCCAGUUUUAAGGGACAAAGUCGGGUGCAUCUCAUACAUGCGUCAAAGAAGACAACACAUAUAAUAACAGAGUGUAUAGAGAUAAAUGUCACAAUAAUCAGAGUACUUAUUACAUAGCGGAAGUCUUUACAAAAUAAAAGAUAAAUAUAACAGGAUCUAAAAUCCAUCCUUGGCGCUAGAAAGUCAACUGGGAGACGACGACCUAGACCUCUCACGAACACAGGACACAGCGCAACAUCCACCAUGCGCCUCAUCCAGUGGUACCUGUCUUUGACCUGUGGGGGUGUGAGACAGCAAGGGUGAGCUCACACAUGUUCAUCGCUUAACAAGUUGUGGGGAAUAAUGUGGCGUGAACUCACCAAAGGUGGGAGUUCACGUGAUGUGUAAAGCUGAUCAACAAUAAGGGUUAAAGCUGAGCAUUGCUUUUAAUAAGUUGGUCAAAUUUUAUUAGCAAUUACUAAAUGUAAGUAAAUACCAAACCAUAAUAAAUAAUAGAACAAAAUUAAUAAAUAAUCCCAUGCAAAUGCAAAUGACAAAUUGAAUUUAGGUUCCAUAUAUUAAUCAUGUCAGGGUCCGAGCCGCUCAUAACCGUGAGCACAGCUAGUAUACCAGUUUUACACUCUGCAAAGGUUGCGCAUCUUUACCCACAAGUCAUGUUACCCAUCUGCCAAGGGGUCAUGAAUCACAUACACCUCUACCAAGGAAGCGAGGCAGGGUAACACUAUGAGGCCUUUACAAAGUUCCACUAGCUUCAGGAAAACCCGCUAUAGUUUAUAGGAAGCUCCAGUGCAGGAAUCCCUCUCCUGACCACCAUCGCAGCAAAAUCAACCCAAGGACCUCCCUACACUGACCACUCCCCUACUGCCCUUGCCCCUUUCGGGUAAGGUAGUCAUCCACUAACUUUCCUAAUUAAUCAGCCAAGGGCGUCCCAUUAAACCCUUGUGGUAGCACUAUUUUCCCGGAUGGUCGCUCCAUGUUCCAAUUAACAUAAUGAUCUUAUCAUGAACAUAAAUAACAUAACAGAAUAAUUGGAACAUGGAUAUAAUGAAUUAUUAACCCAAAACCAUAUAAAGCAAUAUCAUAGCUACUCAAUUGAUUCAGGGGUAAGCAAGGUAAAAUGGAUAAAUACACUAGGGUGACCUAUUGGGUCCCAUCAAAAUUAAACCUAUGCAUUGAAUAGUGAUAAUAAAGAAUAUUAUUGGGUAACAAAAGUGGAUCAAGGGCACAACUUGCUUGGCACUUGAGAUUCUAGUUACCAGGAUGAUUCCUCAUAUGACUCGUGACCGCACUGCUAGUCGUAGCAAUACAAAGAGACAUGGUAUAGACAAAAUUAACAUCACACCAAACAUCAAACAUAAGUACAAACUGAAUAAUAAUGAUCUACGCGUUGCUACAAGAUCGUGGGAUCGAGAACUACUAAGAUCAGAGUUAUGAUUAAGGAGUUAUGAUUUUAUAAAAGAUCUGUGUGAUUAAAAUAUUAAACUAUAUUAUAAAUCAUAUGAGAGGUUAUUCUAUAACUAAUUAUCUUCAACUUUAAUCUAAGUUAUAAAUUGACCAUAUAUCAUAUUCUAGUAGAUUAUAAUGAUAAGCAGUUUAACCAACAUAAAUUAAAUAAAGAUCUAAUUAUAAGAGAAUGGGACAUGGUGUGAUAAAUAUUGUUAUUGCAUAGUAAAUAUUUAUACGAGACUAACGCAACUUGAACGGAUCAAAUCGGAGUUACGGAUUGUAAGUUAUGAAUUUCUAAUGAGUUUAUGUGUUUUGCCCAAGAUUAAAUAGGAUAUAAAUUUUAAUAUGACUUUCAUGAGAAAACAGUAGUGCUAGAUAAUAAACCAUAGUAUUACAAAAUUACAGGAACUGGAAUGGACUAAAAAGAAGUUAGUAUGAAUUUUCUAUGAAUAAAAUGAGUUUCUGGAAUUAUUUAUAUACUAGAAAUCAUUUUCUAUAAUUAUUUAUUUAUUUUCACUGCUCUCUAGACCUGGCGCACAAAAACAGAGAACAACAGGGACCUAAAUCACAAUUUCUCUAUGACUCAGGCUACUAUUCACUGGAUGGCGGGUUGAUUCCAUUAAAAUCCGAGGACUCUUAAGUAAAACGCCCAGGCCAAAGGGAUAUUCUUUGCACUGGCCCGUUCGAUCAGGAACCUAGGGCUAUGAUUAGAUCUCAGAUGCUGUGAACCGGAACACACGAGAUCCACAGGAUCCCAGAUAAAGAGCUGAGAUUUAAUGCGUGCGUGAUCUUUUCCCCGCCCUGCAUCUGCGAUCUAACGGCCAUCCUUUGCUCACCCCGAAACGAUGACAUUGACCAGAUCUACAACGUUGCACACCGAUCCAACGGUCAUGGUUCCAUCUGCGAAGCAGUACGCCCUUGUUCCAAUCUGGACGCUGGUUUAUGGAUCUACGGCUACCACUCAUCUUCUAGCUCCUGACACCGAGUCCCGACGACCAACAAGAGCACCGUGGCGGCGCCAGGACCGGCCACCUCUACCAACUACCAUGCAACCCCAAUGCCCCAAACUCAACGCAAUCAGGUGCUAACCUACACAGAAUCGAUGGCUAACACGCUUACACGCGGGAGGAGGACAUACUGGCGAGCGGUGAUGGCGCAGCAGAGACCCCCGGCCACGCAACACGGCGGAUACAUGGAGGAGUUCACACCCUGGUUGACCAAAUUAUGGGCUCUCGAUCGCCAAACCUUCACAGAGAGAACCCAGGUAAUGUCCUCGGGGCGCGGCGAGGCUUCUAAGCUCGAUCCCCACGACGAAUUGACGGAUUGUCCUCGGCAACGAGUCGAGUUCCAGUCGCACGAUGACGCAACGAGCAUGCUCAGCGCUCCAUGGCGGGCACCGCACACGGACCGUACGAGUCCGGGGAACGCCGCAGGUGCACGACGACGGCGGCCAACACCCUGGUUCUCUCUCUACGACGGAACUCCCCUGGGCGGUACUGCAGCGGCUAGGGCACGAGCUCCUCUUUCUCUCUCACGGGUGACAGCGCGUUUCUCUCUCCCUCCCUUCCUCUUCAUGGCGCCUACGGCUCCAAGAUAUGGUCUCGACUGGGUGGAA
rnacentral:lncRNA from 1 species